CGGGGCGGCAAAACGUCCGCCCGGGCCCGAGGCGGGCGGAGGCAGCUGUGGUUACGUGCGGGGGGCCGGUGACGCAGUCGCGGGGCGCUGGGACGCGGCUUGCGGAGCCGGCCGGCGAGCGCAGGCCCCAGGCUCGGGCGCGGCGGCGGGACAGCACCUACCUUCCCGGCUUCGGGUCCGGGAGUGCGGGGCGCGGAGCCGCCGGAGCGCUGCCUCCCUCCUUCCUCCUCCCCUCGCCCCCGCCCCGCGGCGCGACACACAAUACUCGCCGGAAGCGGAAGCCGCGCCGAGGCUCGUGUCAGUGGAAGCUGGGGUGUCGGCGGGCGGCCGCGGCCGGGUCUAGCGGUGCCUGCGGAAGAAGGAGGAGGAGGGCUGGCGAUGAGAAGCAGCAGGGGGAAUCAAGGGCAAGAAGGGACCCAGAGGGGCAGGUGGCUGAGAUGCUGGCGUCCAGGUGACCCGAGGAAUCCUCUGGAGAUACAGGCCCGCGCAUGCGCGUGCUCGAGCGCUGAAGCCCAUUGCCCGCAGGGCGCUGGACUGGCGCCCCGGCCGGCGAGGCUGUCUAGUCCAGGCUCCAGGCCCCGGCUCUGGCCAGGCGCCGCCGCCUCCCGGUGCAGCUGAAAGUCGACGAAGAGGGCGGGGCGGGGGCGGCUUGUGGACUUCCACACUUUUCCUCUCUUCGGGCCAGUCUGGGGAGAGGGUGGCUAGCUGUGGCGGCGGCCAAUUACGUGGCGGACCUGCGGGGCUAAGCUGGCACGUCACUUCCGACUAGUGGAGUUUUUAGCCUUUUAACAUUCAAGGAUUAGGUAAAAGUCUUGCAGUGAAAAACCCGAGGACCCUUACCGCAAGUGUCUUUUGCUCCCAGCUACUGAUACUGGAUUCCACUCGUGAUUCUCCCUUUCUUAGCGCAUUCAUGAUAUAGACAUCAGUCUCUGAGCUGGAGGAGGACAAAGGCAGCGGUCCUGUGAAUUCUAUGCUCUAGCUUGGGUUAAGGGAUUUGGAAUUGCACUUGUUUCAGAGAGCUCCCUCUUUGCCCACUAGCAGGGCAUUAGCUGGUGCUGAAGACAGUGGCUGCUUGGCGAGCCUGGAUCUCCAAGUGACCCCCUCAGCAACUCCUGAUGAACAGGACUGAAGCCAAUAUUAAAGCAAGUCAACCAAAGGUUCUCUGGUGUAGACAAGACAGCAAAAGGACAGACUACCUUGUGGAACCUAGCAUUGUUCUCCUUCUGCAGCACUAAGUAACAUUUGUUCUCCGUUAAGAUCUUUGCAAACCACACACAAGAAUUGCUGGUCAUCCUGCCAAUAGAUGCUGCUCACAGAACCAAAUUUCCUGUGCUGAAUUGUCACUCAUGGGCCUGAGAGUAGGAGACUGGAGACCAAGGUGGCUAGAAUCCAGUUGGGCCUGAUGUCUCCCUGUUGAAAGGGCUCCUUGUGGAAUGAAUAGCACAUGGCUCCUGUGGUGGAUCUGAUAGUGGCAUAGCACCAAGUGAUGCAGGCCUGCCAGGGGCCACAGACACAGAAGAUGCUCCCGGGGUCCCCCAUGUACUCCAGACACACUGCAGGCCACCUCUCCCAGCAGGUUGCCAGUCAUGGGCCCCAUCAUCAUGACUUCUGUCCAAGGUACUGUGUGCAGAAAUGUGAUUGAGAUUCAAGUCAGGGCCUCUCUGCCCUUUUCCCUCCAGAAACAAAACCAAGAUAAUUUAUCCUGAACACGGUGAAAAAAGGAAGGGAGGGAGGAGAAAAAGUCCGGGUCUCACCUGGGAUUCUCUGUCUCCUGCAACAUGAAGGAUUUAGCCUGGGAGGAGGUGGUGAGAACUCUGGGAGAGAAAAAAGAAGGAAAGAAUAGUUUUACCCAUGCUGAAGUUAAUUUAAACCUUCACCUAGAGAAGCAAAAAAAAAAACCCACACUUUCCCAUUUUGUGCCUCCCUUCCUAGAGUUUUAGCCAAAGGUUUAGCUAAGUAAUUGGUUUUACCAGGGCACUCACUCCUCCUAUCCCAAGUCUGUUUGACUCCCUCCCCAUCAUCCUCCUCACCUCUUUUCAGGCAGGGUGGGGAUAGCAGCAGGAGGAGAUUUUGGGAGCCUGGCAACUCCUGCAAGGACCGCAGGACAGCCCCUCUGUGGGGAUGCGUGGUGCCCCAUCUGCCGCCCUUCUGAAGAAUGCACUGCCUUCACUUUUUACUGUGUUAGAGUCCAUCCAGACUGUUCUAUCCAAAAAAGUUUCUUUUUCCCCCACAGGCAAUCAGGAAAUGAUUCCUUUCCCGACUGCUUCUGUCUAGUGCCUGGGAAUCUUGAGUCAAUCCCUCAGUAAGUCAGUGACUAGGGAAAUCCCUCUCUGAGACUCCCAGUUCAUGUUGCUUAGGGAACCUGAUAUUUUCGUGAAACCUGCCUACACAUGGGCAGCCCAACAGCAGAACAAAUGGUGGUGACCAAAGUGAACAAAGAAGUAUAGUUGUGCCAGCUUCGUAGUUGCCCAUGUGGACAAGUCAGCAGGAUCAGGACACGAGGAAGAGUAAAUGUGAGACAGUCAAUGUGACUUCUGCGAUAAACAGAUUUUUAAACCCCGAAAUUUUGCAAAAUUUUGGUGAAACCUGAACUUUCUUCGUUGCAUAUACUGGCACUAUCUGUACCAUCAUACAACCGUCUCACAUUAAAGCUAUUUUUCUUGGGCACUGAUGAGUAAGGUUGGUAUGUUUGAGUUCCUCAGAUCAACAAAAACCCAUUUUCCUGUAAGUCUUACAUUUAGUAUUUAAGGAACUAAAACUUAAAUACAUUUUGUGAAAUGGUUGACACUUCACUGAUAAUGAUUUAUUGCUUGGAUUAAUAAAUUUUCCAAAAGUUGUCUUAUGUAGAAUAUGGUUUGCAACCAGCAGAACCAUUAAUCUAUACUGCAAUGAUAUGCACUAUGUAUAAUUGUUUAAAAGCCUCUACUUAAUGAUGUAAAAUGCUCUAUUUAAUUACACAUUUGGGUAAACUGUAUACUAACAUCUGAUGGCAUUUUUCCACUGUUUGUUGCUUUUUUCAAAUACUUUAUUGUACAAAGCUGUUCUUAAUAUUUUUCAAGUUUUUUUCUUUGAAUUUUGCUAAUGUUUUCCUUGAAUUAUGAGCACUGACAGAAUGUGCUUAGCACUUUUGGCUAUUCACACAGCUUUUGAGCAUGAUUUGCAUCCAAUAUUUACAUUGCUAGCAAUAAUAAGCCAUCUGUGAGUUUUGUCAAAAGUUAUUGGGGAUUUUUUAAAUUUUAGAAAUGCAAAUUAUUGUUUCUUUGAACUAACUCUUAUGCAGUUGCAAAGGCAUUUCCAGUUGUUAUAGUUUGUGUACAAUAUCAGGUGUUCCAGAUUAUGAUUCAUUAUUAAUAUCAUUGCUUCCUUGUUCCCUCUGAGGUCCAGAAGAUUCAUGUUUACAAUAUUUAGAAACAAUGUUAAAAAGGUAUCCAAAGUUUGUCACUUUAUUAUUAGUUUGUUCUUAAUAUUCUGUUUAAGUUUUUGAAUUCAUAGAUAUCAAAACGCUGCACAAUUAUGAUUUCCACAGGAAUAACAACACACUAACAAUAAGAACCAAAAACAGCAAAUAGGCUGCCUACAAGUUUUGACAAUAUUAGGAUAAUGAUAAUGACAGUUUUUCUAAAUCUCACAGUAAAGAAUGCAGCAACCCAGCAACACUGCUACCUGUGGCCUCAGGCUGCAGUGUCAGCUCUUCCCUGGGUCUCCAGCCUGCCAGUCUAACCUGAAAAUUAUGUACUUGCCAGCCCCCACAGUCACGUGAGUGAACUGGCCCAGGCUGGUCACCAGGGUCAGUUUCUCUGUGUGUCAUUAAUUCAUUCAGUCUUCAGCAGUCUCUUUGGAGCUGAGAUGUACCUACCAUCUGCCUUUUGGGUGCUUAGGGUGGAGAACCAGAAAAGUAUAACCUAGUGUGUAUCCUCAAAGAGCUAACAAUAUGGGGUGGUACCUAUAGGUCUGGAAACACUUUACUGACUCUGUGAGGCAUACCAGGAGACGUCAGAGAACAGUCCCUCCUCAAAUGCCAAAUGAGAUGCAGAAGAAAUAGUUUGCUCAAGUUCAUGGGCCAGAUAUCCCAGUGGUCAGGGAGUUUCAUGAAUGAGAUGGAACUUUGCAUGGAACCCGAGGGAUGUGUAUGAUUUGAGUAGAUGAAGAAAAUGAGACUUUCCAAGCAGCUAGAAGUUAGGGAGCAGCAAGAUGUGUGGUGGGAUUGAGCACAGUUGGUUCAGAGGAUAGACUGCAGUUUUAAUAAUUUGUAGUAAAUAUCUCCCAACUGUUUGGCACUAUUGGAGCAAGUUCUUGAAUGCCAAAUGAAGGCAUAAAUCAGUAAGAGGCAUAAUAAAAGGCUGAGCAGUGCUUGGCUUUUUACGAACUGAUCCUGAUAGGAGCAGCUGUUCAACAAAGUUGCCAGGUCACCGUUACAUAGUCCCUGCCUUCUAGGGGCUCACUGCCUACUGGGAGAGACAGUCUGAAAGUUGGUGGAGCAUGUAACUGUUGGAUGAGGAGUUUGAGCCUGUGGACUGUGGGACCCCCGAGGAGGGUGUGGCUACUCUAGGCAGAACAAUCCCACAGUUUAUUUAUAUUUAACCUUGAAAUUCAUUAGAGGAUUUUUCAGCAGAGGUUUGGUACUUGUUAAUGUUAAGGUUUGCAUUCUCUAGAACCUCAAGGAAAGCUGUACCGUGCAUAAUGUACCCUCUUAUGUUAAUGUUGUGUACUGUGAUCCUGUUUCAGGGACUUGCACUUAGGAAUCUGUUACAGUGAGCACAGAAGCAGACCUGUGGGCUCAUAGUCUUCACCCCCCACCCAUAUAUACAAGAUGAACAGAGUGGAGGUUAAACAACUUGACUAAACAACACAGUUCAUGGUAAAGCCCAAGACUGUACCUGCCCAUCCACUGCCUUUUCCAUGUAUCCUGGAACUGAGCAUAGACCUCUUCCCAGGCAGAGCUGACAGCAAGUAAAGGAGAUCAUAAUCAGGGGACCAAACAACUUUGUCUAAAGUGUGAAUGUCACCUAAGGAGAAGCUGUGAGAUCAGAAGGGUGGGGCAGAGGAGCAGACACCAUGAGGGAGAGUCCUUGGGGGUACAUCUGCCAGACUGACACUGUCUGGCCUGGGCAGUGGAGGGGCUAGCAGGAACCACAGGUACUGGUGGUGUGGCUACUACCGUUACAACUGCCUGUGCUUGGACAUGGACCCUCUGCAAUAUGCGGCAGUUUCAUUCAUUGCCCCCUACAUUCUACACCAAGUAGAAAUGGAAGGCAAUUGGAUACUUCACAGACAAGAUCUAAGUGGAGAAGGAAUGCGUCCUGUGGCUGCAGAGAUCCUUGGAGCUUGGAGGGGAGAGCUUGAGCCCCACUGAUGAUGACCUCCCACAGCUCGCCAACUCAGCCCUCCCUAAGUCCCCAUCGGGGGCCAAUUCUCACUCUGGGGUUGGGGGGACUCCACCAUAGCUCAUCCAUCAUAGGGAUGUUGGUAUCUACUGUGGGUUGGGUAGGGCCGAUGUGCUGAGGAUGGCUCCCCCACAAGCAAGAGAUGUGGAUUUGGGGAGCUUCCCAUCUUGUGUUGAAGGAACAUAACUCAGAAUAAUAAGAGCCAACUAUAACAAACCCACAGCCAACAUCAUACUGAAUGGGCAAAAGCUGCAGGCAUUCCCCUUGAAAAGUGGCACAGGAUAAGGAAGCCCUUUCUCACCACUCCUAUUCAAUAUAGUGUUGAAAGUCCUGAUCACAGCAGUCAGGCAACAGAAAUAAUAAAGGGCAUCCAAAUAGGAAGAGAGGAAGUCAAACUAUCCUUGUUUGCAGACAGUAUGAUUCUAUAUCUAGAAAACCCCAUAGCCUCAGCCCAAAAGGUCCUUCAUCUGAUAAUUUCAGCAAAGUUUCAGGAGACAAAAUCAGUGUACAAAAAUCACUAACAUUCCUAUACACAGUCGCCAAGCCAAGAGCCAAAUCAGGAGCACAAUCCCAUUCAUAAUUGCCACAAAAAAGAAUAAAAUACCCAGGAAUGCAGCUAACCAAGGAAGUAAAGGAUCUCUACAAUGAGAAUCACAAACGCUGCUCAAAGAAAUCAGAGAUGACACAAACAAAUGGAAAAACUUUCCAUGCUCAUGGCUAGGAAGAAUCAAUAUCAUUAAAGUGGCCAUACUACCCAAAGCAAUUUAUAGAUUCAAUGCUAUUCCUAUCAAACAAUUACAUUUUUCACAGAACUAGAAAAAACUUAAAAUUCAUAUGGAACCAAAAAGCCUGAGUAGUCAAGGCAAUCCUAAACAAAAAGAACAAAGGUGGAGGCAUCACAUUACCUAACUUCAAACUACAGGGCUACCAUGACCAAAACAGCAUGGUACUGGUACAAAAGCAGACACACAGACCAGUGGGACAGAAUAGAGAGCCCAAAAAUAAGGCCACAAACCUACAGCCAUCUGAUCUUCAACAAAGUUGACAAAAACAAGCAAUGGGGAAAGGUCUCCCUAUUCAAUAAAUGGUGCUGGGAUAACUGGCUGGCCAUAUGCAGAAGAUCGUAACUGGACCCCUUUUACUAUGUACAAAAAUUAAGAUGGUUUAAAGAGUUAAAACCCAAAAUUAUAAAAAUCCUGAAGAUAACUUAGGCAAUACCAUUCUGGACAUAGGAACUGGCAAAGAUUUCAUGAUGAAGACACCAAAAGCAAUUGUAACAAAAGCAAAAAUGGACAAAUUGGAUUUAAGAGCUUUUUCAUAGCAAAAUAAACAACAGGGCAGACAAUCUACCAAAUGACAGAAAAUUUUUGCAAACUAUGCAUCUGACAAGGGGCUAAUAUCUAGCAUCUAUAAGGAAUUUAAACACAGUUACAGG
rnacentral:lncRNA from 1 species